GGCGCGCGAUACAGGGUGACAGCCCCGUACACAAAAGCGCAUGUGCUGUGAGCUCGAUGAGUAGGGCGGGACACGUGAUAUCCUGUCUGAAUAUGGGGGGACCAUCCUCCAAGGCUAAAUACUCCUGACUGACCGAUAGUGAACCAGUACCGUGAGGGAAAGGCGAAAAGAACCCCGGCGAGGGGAGUGAAAAAGAACCUGAAACCGUGUACGUACAAGCAGUGGGAGCACCCUUCGGGGUGUGACUGCGUACCUUUUGUAUAAUGGGUCAGCGACUUAUAUUCUGUAGCAAGGUUAACCGAAUAGGGGAGCCGGAGGGAAACCGAGUCUUAACCGGGCGUUAAGUUGCAGGGUAUAGACCCGAAACCCGGUGAUCUAGCCAUGGGCAGGUUGAAGGUUGGGUAACACUAACUGGAGGACCGAACCGACUAAUGUUGAAAAAUUAGCGGAUGACCUGUGGCUGGGGGUGAAAGGCCAAUCAAACCGGGAGAUAGCUGGUUCUCCCCGAAAGCUAUUUAGGUAGCGCCUCGUGAAUUCAUCUCCGGGGGUAGAGCACUGUUUCGGCUAGGGGGCCAUCCCGGCUUACCAACCCGAUGCAAACUGCGAAUACCGGAGAAUGUUAUCACGGGAGACACACGGCGGGUGCUAACGUCCGUCGUGAAGAGGGAAACAACCCAGACCGCCAGCUAAGGUCCCAAAGUCAUGGUUAAGUGGGAAACGAUGUGGGAAGGCCCAGACAGCCAGGAUGUUGGCUUAGAAGCAGCCAUCAUUUAAAGAAAGCGUAAUAGCUCACUGGUCGAGUCGGCCUGCGCGGAAGAUGUAACGGGGCUAAACCAU
rnacentral:rRNA from 1 species